AGGAUAUUUGUGUAUAUACAGAAGCUUCUAACUUCCAUUAAAGCGGUUAAACUCCGUUUAUAUUCUA
rnacentral:tRNA from 1 species